rnacentral:lncRNA from 12 species
CCCCCCCCCCCUGUCCCCGCUGUCCCCUCGGUCCCCUGCGGCUUGGGAGGGACCUUAAAGCCCGUCCGGUUUCACCCUCUGCAGGGCAGGGACACCUCCCGCCAUCCCAGGCUGCUGCAGCCCCAGCGCCCAGCCUGGCUCUGGGCAUUCCCAGCUUCUCCUGUGCCUCCGCGCCCUCGCAGACAGUUUGUCACACCUUUCCACCUCUCCAGGGCAUGGGGUGAACACUCCAGCAGAGAAGCGCAGCAAGGGCUCUGCUCAAAUCAUUGUUCCUGCUCACGUCUCUACCCGAAUUCUGGAAUUUCCGCUUGCACAGCGCUGCGAGUGCUUUUAGCUGCAAAGGUCUGCGACUAUGUUUCCUUGUGAAGUUCUGCUUUAAAAAAUCUGGGAGGGAGGGGAUGGAGAGAUUCACCAAAAUGUAUUUCUGACAUUGCCUCAGCCACCAAAAGCAUUUUUCCCAACAUGAGAAAAAAUUGUACCCCCCAAGCUUAUUUUUAUUAAGAUACAGUCAAUUCUUUUCGUUGUUUUCCCAAUAGAACUUAAGGGAAACUUCAGAAUAUAAAAGUGAGUCCAGAAGAUUAUAUUUUGUUGAAGUUAUAGGCAUUAGAACUGGAGUUUUUGGACAGAAACACUGACUUAUAAGGAAACUUGAGUCCCAUUUGUUAUUUACAAGCUGCUGGUGUCAUAAAUACAGACAGCCAAGUGUAGGACAGAGACAAGGGAGAAAACGAUUUCCAGCAGGGCUUUUUGUCAAGGCAGCUGAAUAAAAAAGUUAUAUCUUGACCUAAAGUAAUUUUUACUGGCAAAGCUGUAGUUAUUCCUGUAGUAACCAUGCUUGUAAAUGGAAUUUUAACAAAAAAAAUUCAUCACCAAGUCCCUGUAGCCACUUUAUUUCAGGGGCAGCACAAACUAAUCCAGUUGGCUUUAAACCUUGUGCUGUUUUGAACUCCCUGCAGUGCUUUAAAAUCUCCAUGAAUAAAUAAAUAAACCAAAAACCAGAGUGGAUUGGGUAGUGCAGGGACUCUGGGUGGUAUUUUAGGAUGUUUUUCUGUCAUCAUCUCUCCAAUAGGUUCAGGUCUUUCCUGGAUUUGGGGCUCCAGAAUAUUGCAUUUGUUUGAUGCACUUUUUUAUCCAUCUGGGUUAGAUGCAGGAUAUUGAUGUGGAAAGAUGAUGCAGGAAAAAUCCAUAAUUGCUCGAUGAGGAAAUCCUCUGCAGAACUUUCAUUCCUUCUGGAAUCAUCUUGAUUUAACCAUGAGAAUAAGAUGGAUUUGGGGGAAAUAUUUGUUAAAUAAGUUAAAAAUC